CCUACGGGAGGCUGCAGUGGGGAAUAUUGGACAAUGGGGGGAACCCUGAUCCAGCCAUGCCGCGUGUGUGAAGAAGGCCCUCGGGUUGUAAAGCACUUUCAGGGAGGAAGAACGCCUGGUGGUUAAUACCCAUCAGGAAAGACAUCACUCACAGAAGAAGCACCGGCUAACUCCGUGCCAGCAGCCGCGGUAAUACGGAGGGUGCGAGCGUUAAUCGGAAUUACUGGGCGUAAAGCGCGCGUAGGUGGCUUGAUAAGCCGGUUGUGAAAGCCCCGGGCUCAACCUGGGAACGGCAUCCGGAACUGUCAAGCUAGAGUGCAGGAGAGGAAGGUAGAAUUCCCGGUGUAGCGGUGAAAUGCGUAGAGAUCGGGAGGAAUACCAGUGGCGAAGGCGGCCUUCUGGACUGACACUGACACUGAGGUGCGAAAGCGUGGGUAGCAAACAGGAUUAGAUACCCCUGUAGUC
rnacentral:rRNA from 1 species